GCCCUUCGUGACGUCACACCAAAACAAACCAGGCGAGGCUUAGUAACAAUUUCGUCCCCGGAGAAGCAGGUGUUCACGCGGGGUUUAUCGAGAAUGCUGACGUGGAUACUAUUAUAAAUUUUCUUCUUCCUGGUUAUGAACAUCAAAACAGCAUGAUUCCAGUAUCAGCUGUAGAGUGGUGAAGUCACACAAACAGAUAAUGCAUCACACAACUCAUCACUCAAGCCUUCAAGCAUAAUGAAUUUCCGUCAGAGAAUGGCAUGGCUAUGCCUAGCCUUUUACCUAGCGACUUCCUUUGCUGUUGUGUACUACUUCCUCGACAUUGCUGACCAGUAUGCUUUAUUUUCCCUAGAACAUUCAAAGCUGCACAAGUCAGGGGAUUCUGACAUUCCACUAUGGAAGUUCUGGCACCACAUUGGUGAUAUUCCAUUCCCUGUGUUAUUGGUACUGUUGGCUGUUCCCUACUUUCAGGUUUUUGCGGCCCUCUUUUACUGCACUCUUCCUACAGCAAAUAAAAAUGUAAAUAAGUGCCUUGUGCCAGUUAUAGGUUGGAUAUAUAUGUUUCAGAAAGUUUUGACACUUUUCAAAGACCAUAAUGCUAAAAAUACUAUGCAUGAAAACUUACAUGUAGUUAGUAUGUCAUGAAUCAACACAUUUUCAGGGAAAGUUUUUUGGUACACAGAUGUAAUGAUUUUCCUCUAAAAUGGAGAGUUUUGAAUGAAAUUAUUUUCCACAGGCAGUUAUUAGAGAGAUUGAAUUGUAUGAAUUAUAUUGAAUAAGAGAAAGACUUUAAAAAUGCAAGAGAAUUGUGAUUUCCUCCCAUGCUGUCCAAUAUUAAUAUAAAUAUGAAAGACAUAAGAUGUAUAUAACACACACACACACACACACACACACACACACACACACACACACACACACACACACACACACACACACACACACACACACACACACACACACACACACACACACACACACACACAUACACACACACACAUACACAUAUUAAAUUUACAUGUAUGUAUGUGUGUAAGUAUAUUUACGCAUUGAUGAAGAGAUUAUUGGCAUUUAGGUUAAACUAACCGUCCACUGUAUUAAAUUAUAUUGAUGCAUUGUGAACUGAGCAAUUGAAUACAUCUGUGAUGAUCCAGUAGGCGGAUAAUUGUUCUUAAGUAUAUUUGUUUUGACAUCAAGGAAGCAAUAUAUAUAUUUAUAUGGAAUUUUCAUCAACUCAUCCACAUAUACAUAUGACAUAUGUAUGAGAUUAAGUAGAGGCAUAUGCAUAUGUGUACACCAUCCCUUACACACAUACACGUUCACUCAUGUAUUAAGUCAUGUUGUUCUUUUCCCAUCUUUCUUUCCUCUCUCUUGCACACCCUUUGAUUCUCCUGCAUAUUCCCCUUCUCACUCUUUCUCAUCCCCCAUCUCUCUCUCCUCUUUUUCUCUCCUACCCUUUUCUCUCUCUCCCCACUCUCUCUUACCCUUUUCUCUCUCCUUUCUCUCCUUCUCCUUCUCCUUCUCCCUUUUACUCUGACUUCUUCUACUCCCCCACUCCCUACUCCUCCUCUUUAUUCUCAGAACCAUAUUCACACUUUAAAAACAUUGCCUGUACUCUCAUGUGUGUGGUUAGCAUACUGUAACUGUACUCAGUCUGAAUUCAUGUGUUUUAUUAGUAUGAGGACUUCUCGUAAUUAUUUGAGUCCUUUCUGUUUGCUUUCAUAUGUUCUUGGUAUCAUUAUACAGUAAUCUAGUCAGUGUGACAACUUGAAUUCCAAAUAUUUAGAGAAAUUUGAUAUUUAAUUCUGAGUCGUUGCAUAUGGAAAGUGCUUUGCUGGUUGUAUUACUGAAAAUUGGCAAUAUGUAAAUGUAGAUGGAAAGCAGUAUAUAUCAUUUACACCUACCAACAGUGUGAUUACUGAAAGGUUGUAAAUUGUUAAAAUUUAUAUGGGUGGCAGCAAUAGUCUUUUAUUUUGCUGUAGUAAUAACACAAGUAACUGUGCAUUUGUUGUUUUUAUAUAUAUAUUUUUUUAUAUACAAUCUGAUGUACCUUCCACCACCAGAUGAUUGUCGCUUUACGUACAAAAUCUAUGCCACAUCGGAAGCAGGUACAUUUUUACGAUUUCAUUUUGUUGGCCUGCUACUUGAGGAUAGUCAUACCUCAGAUGUUUAAGAAGGCGUUUAAUAUUCAAGGCAGUUCAUGCUUCAUUCUGCAUUAUUUAUUGAUAUUGUAUUAGUUAUUUAUGUACAAUGAAUAAUCUAUUCUCAUUUUCAUGAUUUUAUUUAAUUUUUUUCUCUCUCCAGUAGUGAGUAUUGCUGUUUAGUUUUUAAUUUUGACAGUGUGCUUGGCUGACUCACCUGUGAUAGCUUUGAAUGAAGGUAAUUUUCACAUUUUUAUUUUACUUUCAAAAAGUCAAAAACUGAGUUGUAAAUGUUAUGAUCAUGUCACUUGAAAAUGGAAUCAGAUUUUCAUAGCUUAUUGUCAAGCUCAGAAAUUAAGACAUAUAUCAGGCCAGGUUUAUUGGGCUGAUUUUCACACUCUUUGUUGUAAUUGUUAAUGGCUCAAAAUAGGUUCUAAGAAAAAGGGUAUGCAUUUUAUACUUGGGUCGUUCAGUGACAGGAAAGGCUGUUAUCUUUCAGUGAUUAGAAAGGCCUAGGAGACUGGAUAUAAAGCUCUUUGACAGCAGAUAUUUUGGCUGUGCUUAUCUUCAUUGAUGUAUCUGGACGCUGGAUAACUGUAAUUAACCAUAAUGUUAUCUCUUCUAUAAACCCUUCUGCCCUGUAAUAGUGUGGUAACUGUAUGUAGUCUCCCCAAGAUGUAAGGGAUAAAUAACCUAUAAUUGGUUUCUCGAUAGUUAUGCCUUUUUUCUUUUUUCUUUUUACCAUUUAAAGCAGUUGCAUAUGACUUUCCAGUGCAUCUAUGACCUUAAAAGAUAGGUUCAUAAAAUUGCUUACUAUGAUACAUUCCACUGCCACAAAGAUUCUUGAAAUUAUAAUAACAUAGUAAGAAUAUGAGUUACCAGGUAUAUAGAGAUCCAUAUAAGCAGUUUACAUGUGGUUGGACUGAGCUUGAAUGCGAGUGAUAUUAUGAGUGUGCUGUAAAAGGGUAUUAAAUUUUUUUAUAUCUAUAAUUAAGCGCAGAAGAUUUAUUUGUUAUGAUUUCUGUAAUGUUAGAUGUGGUUUGCUGUUUUGUGUACGUAAACUGGAUUCUUAUUGUAAUAAGUAUUUUGGAUUUUAUGUACAUUGAAAGGAUUAUGAUUACAAUAUUUUGAAUGUUA